rnacentral:rRNA from 1 species
GACGAACGCUGGCGGCGUGCUUAACACAUGCAAGUCGAACGGACAGGCCCUGCUUUUGUGGCGUGCUCGAGUGGCGAGGGGGUGAGUAACACGUGAGUAACCUGCCCCUGUCUUUCGGAUAACUUUAGGGAACUGGGGCUAAAAUCCGAUAGGAGCUCUUGCUGCGUGGUGGGGGUUGGAAAGUUUCGGUCGUUCGGGCUGGUCUGGCGGCUUAUCAGCUUGUUGGUGGGGUAGUGGUUUACCAAGGGUUUGACGGGUAGCCGGCCUGGGAGGUUGACCGGCCACAUUGGGACUGAGAGACGGACCAGACGCCUACGGGAGGCAGCAGGGGGGAAUAUGACACAGUGAGCGGAAGCCUGAGGCGACAACGCCGCGUGCGGAAUGACGGCCUUCGGGUUAUAAACCGCUGUCGCCUGUGACGAAGCGGGAGUGACGGUAAUGGGUAAAGAAGCACCGGCUAACUACGUG